rnacentral:rRNA from 1 species
ACGGAGGGUGCGAGCGUUGUUCGGAAUUACUGGGCGUAAAGCGCGUGUAGGCGGUCUUUUAAGUCUGAUGUGAAAGCCCCGGGCUCAACCUGGGAAGUGCAUUGGAAACUGGGAGACUUGAAUACGGGAGAGGGUAGUGGAAUUCCUAGUGUAGGGGUGAAAUCCGUAGAGAUUAGGAGGAAUACCGGUGGCGUAGGCGGCCAUCUGGACGGUAACUGACGCUGAGACGCGAAAGCGUGGGGAGCAAACAG